rnacentral:lncRNA from 1 species
AUGUAGAUAGCUUAAUUUUUUCUUAUUUUUAAAGGAAAAAUUCACUCAUUUCGUAAGUUUAUGAAUCAAGUUAUAGUGUAAAAUUUGGGACAGUGAGUAGAAGCUGCUCUUAGAUUGAGGUUGAGAUGUUGUAAAUCUGUGGGAGCUUUUUGCUUGUUUCACAUUUCAGUUGAUUAUUUGUACUCUCGAGAUUGGCAUUAGGGUUUAAUCUCUAACUUCUUAUAGCCAUCUAGAAUUUAGGGGUUUGUUUUAGUGGACGAGAGUGUAGCUGUAAUUUUGGGAGUCCUUGUGCAGAGGUUAGGUCACCACUUUCAGUUUGUUUUCUUGAUACUUUAAAAUCUUUAUUUAUUGCGGUCGUUUUUGUAAAUCUUUGGUUAGGCGUCAUUAUUAGAUGACAAUGCUUGAAAAGAUCCGAAACUGUAGAUUGAAAACAUUAAUAGCGUCCUUUAUGAAGAAUAAAAUUAUUACCAGGGAAGUGGAUUAAUGGCCUUGAAUGCACAAUACUAGGUAUUGAAUCCGAAUAAUCUCCCUUGCCCGUACUGGUGGUACCUACAUGGUCUUCUGCCUGAACUUCCCGCCAAUCUUCAGGGUGCUCCAAGUUCUUCACAUUAGUUGGGUGCGGGGAACUUGAAGAGGGAAAAAAAGAGAGAGAGAGAGCUCCGGAGGGUGUGAUAUGCGGUGAAAUUGGCAUUACCUGUAAGAUUUAACCAAGUAAUAGCUAGAAGGAACAAUGGAAGUGAAAGAAAUUGGGUGAGUUGUGCAAGACUGUGUCUUUUUUCUUUCGUUUUUGGUAAAAUUUUUUUUUUUUUAAAGAUUAUCAUAAUGAGAACAAGACUUAGUUUGUUGUUGGCAGUUUUUAUAUUUACAUACCAUGUGUGUUUGUUGAUUGCUGAAAUAUGCUCUGAACCAUAUAAUUGGCAAAAUGUGACUUGAAACAUGCACAUGUAUUCAGAUUCUAAAAUAUUAGCACUAUCUGUGCUAUUUGCUAUACUACUGUACUUCAGUUUCAACAGCUGAAAUGGUUUUGCAUUU